AUUGAACGCUGGCGGCAGGCUUAACACAUGCAAGUCGAGAGAGCGGCGGACGGGUGAGUAAUGUCUGGGAAACUGCCUGCUGGAGGGGGAUAACUAAUGGAAACGGUAGCUAAUACCGCAUACCAUCAGAUGUGCCCAGAUGGGAUUAGCUAGUAGGUGGGGUAAUGGCUCACCUAGGCGACGAUCCCGUGCUGGUCUGCGAGGAUGACCAGCCACACUGGAACUGAUACACAGUCCAGACUCCUCCGGGAGGCAGCAGUGAGGAAUAUUGCACAAUGGGCGCAAGCCUGAUGCAGCCAUGCCGCGUGUGUGAAGAAGGCCUUCGGGUUGUAGAGCACUUUCAGCGAGGAGGCGUUACUCGCAGAAGAAGCACCGGCUAACUCCGUGCCAGCAGCCGCGGGAAUAC
rnacentral:rRNA from 1 species